CUCGUCGAGGGGCGCUGCGACCGUUAGGGCGGACUGAUCCGCCAUCCCGCACCACAUGUGCGGAGACACACGGCCAGGCUCGACCAGCAUUCACCGUUCAACGGCGCCCGGAACUG
rnacentral:ncRNA from 3 species